UGAGUGCUAUGCAAAUGUGUUCACAGG
rnacentral:piRNA from 1 species